rnacentral:lncRNA from 1 species
UAAAAUAGUGUAACAGACGUAUUUCUCUCUUUUUCCUUCAUUCUAUAAGGACGCAAGCCGUUAAUUACCACUAUUUUGAUAAUAGUUGAUGUAACCGUUACAAUUCAAGAGAUGAUUUAGCCAGUGACAGAUGAUCUAUUUAGGUAGAGAGGUUAUGAAACUUACCAUUGGAAGUUCUUAAAUUAAAUAAAGCUCUCAUAUUUAAUAAUGAAUCACAUUAAAGCAUUUAGAAGUCUGACCGCGUCUUGUAUGACAAAUGAGCAAAUCCAAAAGUACAUUGCACAUAACGGAAAGGUUAACAAAUGGAAUCACCUCUUCUUGUUCUACAGCAGAACACCAGAUAGAAGCCUUUCAAGUCUUCUUGAAUCCAGAUCUCUAUUUGCACAGAAAAACGACCGACGGUAGUACCACACUCACGUGAUCUCUCUGGCAAUUAAGAGAUCUCGUAAUUAUUUCACAGGUGGAAAAAAUAGCCAAAGUUGAAUCUGAUCCCCAAGUGUUGUGAAGUUAGAAGAUGAUGCACACUCCAUUCCUAUUUCUCUAUGGGAAGAACAAGGUAAACAAAUAUCACCUGAAGAUUGUAAAUGAUUUCAGAAAAAACGAAACUGAAAUUAUUUGAGAGAAAAGAAACGUGAAUCUUAUUGAAAGAGUUGCUCCCCUUAUAUAGACAAAACUAGAGUGAACCCUCAUCGUUAGUUGACUAAUAUGUAAAGUUCACUUUACUACUGAGUUAACUAAUAUUUACAGAAUUACAAUUGUACUCCUAUAAAUAUUUACACUAUUUACAGUCCUCAAGCCGAGGGCUAGUGAAGAUCCACAAGUCCCAUCUUGGACAAAAGAGAAUAAAAGAAGUCGUUGCAUAAGGGUUUAUUAAAAAGAUCUGCUAACUAUGUCUAAGAAUUGACUUUAAUAGUAGCAAUGAACCCUUUGAGAAAUUCAUCCCUAACAGGUGGCAAUCGAUCUCCAACUGUUUGGUUCUUUCGUGAAAUACUGGGUUUGCUGCUAUAUAAAUGGCAGCUUGGUUAUCGCAGUGAAGGGCAAUGGAAAGUGACAGAUGUAUCUGAAAAUCUUUUAGUAAUUAGGAAAUCCACUUUAACUCACAAACAACAGCUGCCAUACUCUUAUAUUCAGUUUCAGCAGAUGACCUACUUACAGUAUUUUGCUUCUUUGUUUUCCAAGUGAUUGUCUUUCGGUGGAAGACCUGACCAAUUCAAUGUCUAAGAAAUACUUGGCAUAACCAAGUCUUUGAUUCUGAACUGUUUGUGCAAGUAAGCCUUUGUUUCUUCAAUAUGCUCUUCAUUAGUUCUUGAAAUCAAUAUAUCAUCCACAUAUACAAGCAAACACUUGAAAAUGAGAGUUAAUGGAUUUUAUGAAUAAAUAGUAAUCUGAUUUGGAUUGUGUGAAUCCAAAGUGCUUGAUUUUUUCAGUGAAUUCCCCGUUCCAUUGUCUCUUUGCUUGUUUGAGGCCAUAAAUAAACUUGAUAAACUUAGAAACUUACGCUGAUUUGGCCUUUGAAUAUCCAUCUGGUGGAGUCAUGUACAAAUCUUCAUCAAUAAAGUUAUAGAAAUAGGCAUUAUUGAUAUCCAAUUGAUGGAUUGACCAGCCUUUAGAUGCUGCAAUUGCCAAAAAAACCCUUACAAUGAUUAAUUUUACUACAAGACUGAAACUUUUUGUGUAAUCUACUCUUGGCACUUGGUUGUAGCCCUUGGCUACCAAGCCAUCGAGAUUGUGUUUAAUCCUAUAUACCCACUUUAAUUCAAUGGGUUUUUUGUUUGAAGGUAAAUAAGUGAGCUCCCAUGUAUUAUUAUCUUUUAGUGCUAAUAGUUCCUUUUGCAUAGCCACUACCCAAUUUGGGUCCGUCUUAGCUUGAUGAUAAGUUGUAGGUGCAUGAGAUGCAGAUACAUUGGCUAGAAAAAACAAGGUAAUCUUUAUGAAAUUUUGGGUUAGAGAUGGAAAUAGAGGGAUUUGGUAUACCUAAGAGGUCUGCUUGACUGAGGGUAGUAGUUUGGCAUUCUUGAUCAUCUUUUACAGCAGCCACAAAACCUUGCAACCAUGCAGGUUUAGAUCUUUGUCUUGAGCCCCUUCUGAUGUUUUGUACAUUAACAGGAGUUGAGCAUUGGGGUUGUGGACAUGAUUCUAUUGAUGGUGUGUCAGCAGAGUUGACAUUGUCUGUGUUGUUUGUGUCGUUUAACCUUAAUAGGUCCUUGGGAGGCUAUGUUGGUGGAGCUUCAUUCUCACUGUAAAUGGGAAUUGGUAAAGGUGUAGGUUCAGACAAAGUUUUUAGUGUUAACUUCUGAAAAGGAAAGAUAGCCUCAUGAAGGAUGACAUCUCUAGAUAUACAAACUUUCUUUGAAUCCAAUGCAUAUAGCGUAUAGGCCUUUUGUCUAGGUACAUACUCUAGAAAGAUACACUUUAUUGCUCUAGGUUGGAACUUGGUCUUGUUUGGGAUUGUAUUUGUGGUAAAGCAAAGGCAUCCAAAGUCCUUAAGGUUGGUGUAGUCUGGCUUUUUGUCAUAAAGGAUCUCAAAAGGUGAUUUCCAGUUUAAUUUUGGUGUAGGUAGUUUGUUUAUGAUGUGAGUGGCUAUAAGGAUUGAAUCUCCCCAGAAUCUUUUUGGCAAGUUGGCUUGAAACAUAAGAUUUCUGGCUAUUUGUAAGAGGUGUUGGUGCUUUCUUUCAGUCACACCAUUUUGCUGUGGUGUGUAGAAGCAAGAUCUUUGGUGUAUGAUUGCCUUUACUGUGAAUAAUUGAUGGCAAACUCGAUUUACAAAUUCGGACCCAUUGUCCAAUCUAACCACCUUCACUGAUCUGUUGAAUUGGUUUGAUAUAAGGUUCAAGAAUAAAGCAAUCAUUGAAGAAGUUUGGGUUUUAUCUGCUAUAAGAUAAGUCCAAGUCGUUUUACUGAAAUCAUCUAUCAAGGUUAGGAAAUACCUUACACCAGACUGUGAAAUGACAUGAUAAAGUCUCCACAAAUCCAUAUGUAUAAGUUCAAAGACAUGAGAAGUCACUGUGGUACUUUUUUGAAAUGGCAUUCUCUUUUGUUUAACUAAAGGGCAAACUUCACAAACUUUUAUUUCAUCAUUGCAAACCUCAGUAUUUAUAAUCUUGCACAAUACACUUGAUAAUGCACGUCCUAAUCUAGUAUGCCAAAGGCUAAUACUGUCCACACUUGACGUUGCUAUUGCAUUAUUUUCAUUACAAGCUAUCCAAUGCAACUCUUUAUUCUUCAACUCAUUGACAUUAAAGAAGGAUGCAUCUAUUUUGUAGAGUCUUACUUACACUUUGCCAAUGGCUACUACCUUCUCAAUCAAGUGGUUCUACAAAACACAUUUAUUUUGCAGGAAACUAAUUGUCAUCGUUUUGUCUUGUACCAGCUUGUGUACUAAAAGCAGGUUAUAUUUGAAUUAGGGUAUGUAUAAUAUAUCUUGCAAUUCAAGAUUUGGACUUAAAAUCACAGUACCUAUAUGAGUCACUGUUUGGACAGAAUCAUCAAGUGGACUAGGUUAUUUGAGGUUUGUCUUUGUGGAUUUUUUAAUAGGUGGUAAUUUGAACACAUGUGAGUGGUAGCUCCUGUGUCUACGACCUAACCUACUCUAUCAUGCAAUUUAAACAAAGACAAAUUAAGAGAGCUACCUGCAAAGUUAGAAUAAUUUGCACAGUUUACCUCUGCUAUUCCCUUUCCCUUCAUGUACCUUGCAACUUCUUGCUGAAUUAUUGUGGCUAAUGCUGAAUUCGAUUCAGCAGGUUGGAUCUCAAACAAUGACAAUGGUUCAUCCGCAACUACUUCAUUUUUGUGUUACUGCAUAAGCCUAAGGUUUGGUCUUUUUCUGCUUUAGUUCUUUGUACCAGUCUGGAUAUCCGUGGAUCUUGAAGCAACUGUCUUUCACAUGUCCUUCAACAUGACAAUGAUUAUAAUAUUUGUCUUCCUUUUUUAGAUAACCUUUCUUGCCUUCGUAAUUUCUUGUUCCAGCUUUAUUUCCAUUGAAUCUAUUGUUUCCUUGAUUGUUUGCUAACAUUGCAGAUGCCUCAGUCAGCUCAAUGACAUUGUAUACUUUUCGUUUCUUUUCAACCUUGAGUAUCAUAGAAUAAGCUUUCUUAACGAUUGGCAGUAGAUUCAAUAGUAGGAUCUGAUUUCUUAUGUGAUCAUAAGCAUCGUUUAAUCCCAUAAAAACUGCACCAAUUUGUCAUUAUUGUCCAAGUCUACCAUGGCCUUGGAUGCACCACAUGUGCAUGCUGGAAAAACUUUUAGGCAUCUUUUAGGCAUGACAACUCAUCCCACAAUUUUUUUAGUUUUGUAAAGUACACAAUUACAGGCAUGUUUUCCUGGAAAAAGGAGCUGAUUUUUCUCUUUAGUUGAUACAUGAGAGGUCCAUUACAUUCGUUGAACCUCUUCUCUAGUUCAAACCAUAAAUCUUGAGCAAUAGCAACAUAUAAUAAUGCAUCUACUAAUUCUUUAGAGAUAGAAUUCAAUAGCCAUGAGAAAACUAUGCUAUCAACUUUUAGCCAUUGCUCAUAUUCAUUAGAAUCUAUAUUCGACACAUCAAUUUUGCCAUUUAUGAAUCCUAAUUUGUUCUUAGCGCGAAGCGCUAUUUUCAUCGAUCUACUCCAAGAGAGGUAAUUAGUUCCAGUUAGAGGAGCACUUACCAACACCAUGCUUGGAUGGUCAUAAUUCUGCAAGAGGAAAGAUUCAUUCAUCUUGAAUCUCCUUUCGAUAGUUUCUUAUUGUUUUUGUAGCAAAAUAUCUCUUUUUAUUUGAGACACUGAGAAUUCCACCAUUUUUGUGGUUAACGAGAAUUAAUUUGAGAAUUGAUUGAAAUCAAUGGAUCUUACGAAAUUGAAAAGAAAAGGUGAAGCUCUAAGGCUCAGUGACCACUAGCUCCUCUGAUACCAUGUAAACAAUUUCAGAGAAAAUGAAAGUAAAAUGAUUUGGGAGAAAAAGAAACGUGAAUCUUCUUAAAAGAGUUGCUCUCCUUAUAUAGACAAAAUUAGAGCGAGCCCUUAUCGUGAAUUGACUAAGACGUGAAAUUCACUUUACUGCGGAGCUAAGCUAAUAUUUACAGAAUUACAAUUGUGUCCCUAUAAAUAUUUCCACUAUUUACAAAGAGUAGCGAGUAACAGCUCACAGAAGUAAAAAUCCUAACACCAAUAAAGGGCUAAGGCCAUAUGAUGGAACGUGAUCUUAUAUGAUGUAAAAAGGAAGAACCUGAACAAUUAUGGCAGAUGAAAAGCUACCCUCAUCCUUAACUAGGUUUCUAAUUUGUCAAAAUUAAGGAAGAUCAAGAAUUAGAACUUGCUACACUACAAAACAAUUUGAUGGAAACUUCAAAACUCGAUCAAAAUAAAAAUAGAAAUUGUAUUUCAUCCAAUGCUCACCUCGCUCUGAUACCAAAUGUUAGGAUUAACCCUAACAGAAAAGAAUUAAAGAGAAUAGAACAGAGAUUCAGAGGAAGAUAGAGGAAUUAGAGAGGAUAAAUGGGAGAGAAAGAGAGAGGGAAAGUUGGGAGGAGAGAUAGAGAUAGAGAGAGAGUAUUCCUUCUUGAUUGAUCUCUUUUGAAUGCCUUUACAAUCUGUUUACAGUGUCUUUAUAUCAGCUGUAACAGGAUAACUGCCUCUGAACUAUUUCCCUCCAAUUACAACAACAAUAACUGUCAACUGGUAUUUUCCCUCCAAUUUACUAAUCAACUAAUUCUUCUUAUUUCUCCUCUUAUACGUGACAGUAAAUCCCAAAUAGUCUGUGUAGUUCCCCAUCCCCACCAAACAAAAAACCUGAAACAAGCAAAAAAUUAAUAUAAAUAGACGAAAAGAUGUAAUAAUUUACGAUAAUAAAAAAAGCUUGGAUUGACAGAAUAGGAAAAACUUGUAAUGAAAUCAGAUGCUCAUUAGCAAUUAACUUUAAGAAACUUCAACUCUGUUUAGGCUAAUUGGUUUAAACAGUACUUGCAUGUGUCACAGCCUCAAGCAUAGAAUUGCAAUGCACAUAAAAUAAUUCACAUAAGAUUAAUGGCACAUGAGUCUAAAGCAAAAGAAGGAUCCACCAACUAAACAACACCCUAACAGUAAUUGGCAUUGCAAUGGAAAUGAGCUUGCCUAAAACCACCACUCCUUGCCAUAGACGACGUCCAUUAUCACUGAUACCACCCCAAAUGAACUCCACCAAUUGAAAUUCAAUUAUGACUCAACAAACACAUUUGCAGAAGGAACUUAUCUAAUUCUGAAAGUUAAUGCAACUUCUUUGUCAAUAUCUUAACAAUGAACAUAUAAGAUGCUGAUAAAUUUGUCAAGCUGAUAAUUCAUUUAUUCUUGCAAUGAAAAUGAUGACAUUCAUUUCCUUCCAUUUGAUCCAAUCAGCAUUGACAAUUUGGUUGCUUGAAGCACCAUAGAAAUGGGCGGUCAAAAGAACUAAAAAACUCACAGGUCACAACAGGAAACUUGGCAUGAGCACUCAACGCCUGAUUACUCAAAUCCUUCAAUUGUCCAAAGAAACCUAAAAUACAAUAAUCUAAAUGAAAUCAACACCCGAGUGCUUAAAAAGAUUUAGUAAAAUAAUGAGGCUUGAAUUGCAACUUUAUCACGUUACCAGAAUAUACAAAGGACCAAAAGGAUUACAAGAUAGCCAAGCUUAAAAAGCCUCUGUUGCUUUUCCGUACUAAGCUGGUUAUAGAUCUCAGUAACAUCAACUAAGUGCCGUCUUUGCAAGUACCUGCAAUAUUUAGAUAACAUAUUGGUAGAAUUGAUAAGUUGGAACUGUACAAAUAAAAAGGGGACUUUAGGGUAUUUUCUUGCACGUUUAACCUAAUUAUUUAAUCAGCAUUUCUAUAAGGUAAAUUUUCUUAAUGAUUGAAUGGGUUAGUGAUGAAGAAAAGAAAACUUACAUUCUGAUAUUGUUAUACAGGUAGGGAAGGGAC